AGCCUUGUUAUUGGCCUCAAUGGUCAGAAGGGCAGUGGACCACACUGCAAAGCUUUGAUGGAGACUGGACCAGCUCYCAGACCGUGGAAACACCUUUUCCAGCUUCACAAUGAGUCAUUACAGUAACUCAAAUGGACAACAAGCUUUAUAGGUGUCCCAGGCCUGCUACGCUGUGUGCACUAGAAGAUCUUACCAGUAACCAGCAUAUGUGAUGAAAGCUGCGAGAGAGUUAAGGCAGUUCUUGCAUUUAGCUGACAGCGUAAUAC